UUUCCUAUGGAGCUUCCUUCAAACCAAAGCUGCUGCAGCAGCAACAACAACAAGAAGAACUGCACACCAUCAUGUCCAUCUCCUUGGCCUGAGGAAGAGAAGAUGGUUGGUAUUAAGCGACCAUGGCCUUUCUCUCUAGACAACCUGCCACUGGUUCCCUCUCUCAG